GGGAAUCUUGGACAAUGGGGGCAACCCUGAUCCAGCGAUGCCGCGUGAGCGAAGAAGGCCUUAGGGUUGUAAAGCUCUUUCGCCCGCGACGAUGAUGACGGUAGCGGGAGAAGAAGCCCCGGCUAACUCCGUGCCAGCAGCCGCGGUAAUACGGAGGGGGCUAGCGUUGUCCGGAAUUACUGGGCGUAAAGCGCGCGUAGGCGGUCCACCAGGUCGGGGGUGAAAGCCCGGGGCUCAACCCCGGAAUGUCCUCCGAGACUGUUGGACUGGAGUUCGGGAGAGGAGAGCGGAAUUCCCAGUGUAGAGGUGAAAUUCGUAGAUAUUGGGAAGAACGCCGGUGGCGAAGGCGGCUCUCUGGCCCGCAACUGACGCUGAGGCGCGAAAGCGUGGGGAGCAAACA
rnacentral:rRNA from 1 species